AGACAGUCCAAGGAGAGCGUGGGAGGACCGGCUAACGGAAGAAGGCAGCAAGACCCUAGAGAAAACAUAAGCCAUGGAGAAACUAAUGGAUUCCCCUGCUAAAAUUUCACUUUGAAAGUAAAGAUAAAAUGAAGACAUAGCAUGAAGGCUUUGACAUCUGAGAUCUUGCUGACCCUGGAGAGACUGUUCUCGCUAUGUCAACCAGUUCCCAGAAACAGUAAACACCUCAAAUGAGGAGAAGGAGCAAGAUAGGAGGAGAGGAAAGAAGAGGAGGAGGAACAGAGCAAACAUAUGCAUGCCUAUAAGUAAAUCUAACCAAUCAGCAGUCAAGUGCAGUCCUUUUUGAAAUUGCAGAAGUCUCUCAAGCAUAUAAUUUGUGGCUUCCAGUGAGUUUGAACUUCAUGCUUGAAGUGAUGCACUAGUAGGUGAUUUAAUUCGUGCACCUGUGUCUGGAUUUCUUCCAGACACAAUGAAACGGGUAACUACUUCAGGAUUUACCUAAUAAGGAUUGCAGCGAGACAUCAGAAAGGCACUGAUUGGCAUAUGUGGGCAGGAAAAGGAACAACGAGCUUCCAGUAGAGCUGUGAUAGACACCUGGGUUCAGCCCUUGAGACAAAAACUGAGCAUUUCUCAGCUCCCAAGGCCAAGCCCUUUGGCUUCAAUGAUGUACAAUUUUCUCAUUACAAAUACUAUUGUACCCAAAGGAAUUCUUGUCAGCCUUCUAAUUAUUUUCUCAGUUUGAAAUAAGACCUUGUCUUUAAUAAGACGUUUUGUCAUGUGAUUGUUGUCAGCAUCAAUACACAGUAAGGAGAAUGAGAGCACAGGGGAAACAACAACAAG
rnacentral:lncRNA from 1 species